rnacentral:lncRNA from 1 species
GUUCUCAUGAUAGUGAAUGGGUCUCACAAGAUCUGAUGGAUUUAAAGACGGGAGUUUCUCUGCACAAGCUCUCUCUUUUUGCCUGCUGCCGUCCACAUAAGAUGUGACUUGCUCCUCCUUGACUUUUGCCUUCCACCAUGAUUGUGAGGCCUCCCCAGCCACAUGGAACUAGAAAAUUCAGUUACAUAACUGAAGUGCUGAAGAAUGAGGACCAAAGGGUGGAAACUGUGUGGAGGAGGAAGGAAAAUUGAAGCAUUUUCUCAGAAGAUCUGCCCCCUUACCCCACUACUCCCCCAGGACCAUCACAAUGAAGAUGGUAUCAUUACUUGCUCGUCAGAGCCAACAUUUGGACACUAUUAUUUACAAGAAGACUCUAACAAAAUUAUGCAAGAGCAAAAACUUAAGCCAGAGGACAAUGGAAAGAUUAAAAAAUGAUUUCAUAGCACGAGUAAAUGUCUAUCUAUCUGGGUCCUGCCAAACACAGAAUAGAGGGGAGAUCCUGGAGGAAUGACAGAGGAAACAAAGGCAUUUGGCUGCUAAUCUGCAACCCAAUCAUUCGUAAUCUACCAAACAAUCAUUGUCUACUUACGAUAAAUUAGAAUUGGGACAGUGUGCGAUGGAUGCUCCUCGUUCAUGGAAUACGUUCAGUUCUUCUGCAGAGAGGUAGCAGCCGUGUGCCAUCACUGUCUGGAGAGAAGAGUGCCCUACGUGGAGUUUACCGCUCACAAAUGAUUAAACAAUGAACUCCAUCCCUGGCCUUGAGGAAGUCCCAGACCACCGAUGAAAUGCAUGGACAGCAACAGAAGAAAGGACAAUCUGAUGAUUCGAGUCAUUUGGAUAAAUGGACAUAGAUGAUGCCAGAAGCCAUGACUUUCAGCAAACUAACACAGGAACAGAAAACCAAACACCGCAUGUUCUCAUUCAUAUCUCCUCUGAGCUCCAGACCAGCAAGUCAACAUCUGCUUCAAAUCUCCAUGUAGAUGUCACAAAAGCAUCUCAACUCAGCAUGACCAAAGCAGACCUCUGGAUCCACCCUCCCUGGCUGGACCUCUUCUUCUCUUCCCUAUGUGAAAGUUAAUCAACAAAUGUGUCAUUCUUGUCAUACCCAACUAAAACAGAGAGGUCAGGAGUAAAAGCACUCAGGGAACAAAACAUUGCUCCAAGAACGUAAUUCUAUGCAAGCCUGGCUGCUGAAACUGCCUCCUGCACCUGAAACUGCCUCCUGCACCUGAAACAGUUUUAUCUAACAGCUGCUGAAACAAUCUCCUGUGACUUUAAGAAUAGUUGGCCGGGCAUGGUGGCUCACGCCUGUAAUCCCAGCACUUUGGGAGGCCCACACAGGUGGAUCACAAGGUCAGGAGAUGGAGACCAUCCUGGCUAAUACGGUGAAACCCCAUCUCUACCAAAAAUACAAAAAAUUAGCCAGGCAUGGUGGCGGGCACCUGUAGUCCCAGCUACUGGGGAGGCUGAGGCAGGAGAAUGGCGUGAACCCGGGAGGUGGAGCUUGCAGUGAGCCGAGAUCGUGCCACUGCACUCCAGCCUGAGCAACAGAGCAAGACUCAGUCCAAAAAAAAAAAAAAGAAUAAUUUUACCUGUUACUGUCACUUACCAAUCAAAACUUGCCAGCUCCCUCAAACCUUACUAAUGCCAAUGAACUUUCUCAAAGAGCAAUAUGUAACAUUUCUCUUUUUUAUAAAACUUCUUUCUCUUUGUUCAUGGGACAUACUGAAGGCCAGUCGGUCUGUGUGCAUGCCCCCCAAAUUGCAAUUUUUCUUCCCAAA